rnacentral:rRNA from 2 species
UACGGAGGGUGCAAGCGUUGUUCGGAUUUACUGGGCGUAAAGGGCGUGUAGGCGGAUCGGCAAGUCGGGGGUGAAAUCCCUGGGCUCAACCCGGGACGUGCUUUCGAAACUACCGAUCUUGAGUAAGGCAGAGGCAGGUGGAAUUCCAGGUGUAGAGGUGAAAUUCGUAGAGAUCUGGAGGAACACCGGCGGCGAAGGCGGCCUGCUGGGCCUUAACUGACGCUGAGGCGCGAAAGCGUGGGGAGCAAACAGG